GAUACAACCGUCUUACCAUGAUCUUUUAUGUAAUAAGUUUGGCAAUAAUAAUAAAAAAAGAGGUACAGGUGCACUACCACCUCACAGCAUCACUAACUCAACAGUCCAGUACAGUUUCUCUCAGCGACUCUGCAAUAUCUGCACAAACGAAACGCCGAACAGCUGCUCGAAGAUCUCACCUUUGGAGAAGAUUGUUGAUUUUAUACUCUAAAAAUACGGUGAACCCCACAUCUUACUAUCAUCUCAACACAGCUGAGACAGUUCUGCUGCUGCGCUGUGCUUCACAAUCUCACUCUUCUCAACGGGGAUGUCGUUGAGCAACAGGAUGAGGAAGACCUUGAUGACGGCUCUCUGAACCACACUACCUUGAAGCGAGAGCAGAAGAACACAUGCAGGACAAUCUGACUGCUGCUGUGUCUGCUCCAAACAAUCGUGUGCUGCUCUCCAUGAGCACCACUACCUGUAAAACAUUUACACAGAGUUUACAAGUACAUGCAUUGAUUUAUUACUUUUGUAGUGUGCUAAACCACUGAACUGGUUCAAAACUGUGCUUGAGCACGGCUCUUUUCUCCAGCUUGAUCAGAGGAUUGUAGGCCUCUGUAAUAAGAGCACUGUCAAUCACUUCAGAUAAAAGCUCCAUCACAUUUUUUGAUGAUGCUUUUGAAGCUUCUGAAAGUCAGCCUUCGUCUUAUAAACAGAAACCAGCAGAACAAACUUUACCAAAAUCAAAUCCUCAGUGUCUUUUGGUGUUUCUCUAGAUGCUCUCGCUGCUCUGGGGUCACUGAUGAUGAAGAGACCACAGCAGCAUCUGGUCCUGAUGAGACAGUAAGAGCUGGAGUGAUGGAGCGUCUCAUCCGUGUCUCUGGACCAUUUCCGGAUGCUGCAGUGGACUUCUCCAUCCUCAGUGCACACACCAGUCUGCAGAGAUUUUCAUAACCUACAGAAAUACACACACACAAUACAAAAAGUCAUUACUUUAUUCUUUUGUUUCAGGUUUUUCCUUUUUUUCCCCUUUCCUUGCAGGUCCUGCUCCACCACAAAAGAUCUGCAGCAAAUGCACAGAAAACAACAAUAAGAAAAGUGCUGUAAUAAUUGUUUGAAAUUACACUAAUUAAAAUGUUUCAUUUAUUUUUGUAGUGUACUUACACAAAUCCUUUGAUGGCAGCAUUCCUUCAUCAGUCACUCUACAGCAGAUAAACAUAAUCUGUUCCUGUAACAUCCAGACAAGAGUCAAGUAACCUCUGUGAUUUAUCUGUGAUAUACUGCAUCUGCAUGUUGAUUUAACGGCGGUUGGCAUCCAGCUUAUUGGUGCAAUACCGCCCUCUUCUGUCCCGGAGUGUGGAUCAGAUAAUAGGUUUUCCUACUAAAGGUACGCAUCACUCACAUUGUCCACUACCAUUAAUAUCUACACACACCUUAUGCAUCAAAUCCUGCCUAAAACCCCUGCUUUCCUUAAAAAACGUAAUCAAUAUUCUACCCUGUGCCCUACUGAAAGCAGCCAACAACUUAUCAUUUUGACAUCUCGCGUGAUUCUGUGAGAUUUCGACAACUUCAAGUUACGCCUCCUACUUCAAGUUACGCCUCUUUCAAGUUACGCCCCUGUCUUGCAGUCUGCAGACGUACACGCUUGUGGUCAAGACGGACAGUUCUGAGCUCUCAAAGUGGAACAGAUACCUACGAGAUCAAAGGCAGAUAUCGCGUUAUUCUCACUCACGUGCUGUGUUGCUAAUAAACAUGAUAUAAUUUCAGUUCUGUUGCUUUUAUAUGAAAAUAAAUAUGAUGAACAAGACACUCAAGGUGCUUGCUAUUUAAUUCCAUACGAAAGCCGUAUUUAUCAUCCGUUUUUACUUUAAUACAAACAUGUAUUUUAGAUUUUUAUAGAAAUAUGACAACAAUCACAUAUCUCACACAUAUAUCGCACUGUAAUAGUGUUUGGGAAGAUUCAUGAAUAAUUUAAAUACAUAAUCACAUGAAAUCAGAUAAAAAAAUAAAAUAUUUUAGAAGAGAACGCAGCAUCACAGUUGUCUGAACCAAUGAGAUUUAAGCUGUGUCGUCAGUCAGUUGUUUCCCAUCAUGCUUUUGAUCAGCGCAGUCGGUGGAGAGCCACUGCACUCGACUGCUCAAUCCGACACAGCCUCGCCGUCGCGAGAGUUUUUCGGCACACGUCAGCAUGACAUCAGAGCAAGGCGGACGUAACUCGGACACUUUUCUAACCGGCAUGCAUCUCGCGGUGAUCACCGGUGAUCGGUUCUGCGCAGAUUUUGUUCAUCUCAAACAAGCCUAAAUUCUCUCCCCAAUGUGACGUAAUGCAAUGCAUUGUGGGGGAAAGGAGAAUCGUUGCAAACCGCUGUAAGAUAGUACCUACUUUUUCGUAUUUUAUUCCAUUUUGUGAUACCCAACAACAUAAAAUACAAUGGAUAACAGUUUAAAUGUUCAUUACCAACAAGCAAAUUGCACAAAUUCGUUGAAAAAUUAACCAUGCAACACGAGCUUUCGGCGGGUAGUCGCCAAUGGCGACCUCAGCAAAAACGUCACUCGCAAAUUAAUAUUUAUGGUCGCAAAUGCGACCGUUUUAGUCGCAGUUUGGGAAAAUGGCCAGCAUCAGUCCGUCCCCUGUAUUCAAUCUGCAUGCUUUGUUUAAAUUGUCGAGACAGGGGUAACUGCAGCCUGGAGGAAUGGGCGUGCCAAAAGGUUUCUCAUUGGUCAAAGGAGUUUUACUGUGUUGGCCAAUCAGCGGUAAAUAUACAUGUACGUAAUUUCCUUUAGACAAGAGAAGGUGGCGGCGAUAAGACACAUACUGUAUGUACAGUGAGACAAAACGAUGACCGCAUCUGCAUCGAAGGCGAAGACUUCAGAGCUGAUAGUUUGUAUCGGCGUCCUUUUUGUGCAAUACAGUACAGAAUACAUCCUGUAUCCAACUAAUGCAGAGUAUAUUCAAGUUGCCAACACACUGGUUGUGAAGAACCCUGUCCAGAGAAAUAUAAAAGGAAAUGACUGUGAAACUUGUGUUGGGGAGGAUUCAGUGUCUGUUGAGAACCAUGUGAAUGUGCUACAAAGUGAGUAUCAGAAAACACAUCCAGACACCUGGACUGUCAAAGACCACUCGGCACGAACAUUCUCCUGGAGAUGCUGAGAAAGCACAGAAGGAAUGUCUGUGGAGGAUGUACUCAAACACACCCAUACUUAAGGACACCUGCUGGAGGGGACCCUGCUACACCCUUUCCUACCAUACAGCUGAUGGAUACUGACUGGAAAAUGGUAAUCAUAGGAGGAGGGCUCAGUGUGGUGACAGAAGAUGGAAUAGACGUGUGCCAGUGCACCAGCCUUGAUGAAGCCUUCAUAACAGCCUUCUGUAUCAUUGACUGGAAGUCUGUCAGUCCAGAUGUGAGGAAGACCUACAGAGUGAGUUUGAGCUCAGCAGGUGUGAUGGCUGUGGAUGCAUCUACAAAAACACCACUGGAUACUGUAGCCAUGGAAAGAAGGGGGUCUUCACAGCUUUCUAUUCAGACAAAGAGUUUGCUGAAUUCUGUUCUAUGGACUGCUACUACAGAAUGAAUGAAUGAGUGGUUUAUCUAUCUAUCUAUCUGUCUGUCUAUCUAUCUAUCUAUAUAUAUUUUUUUUUUACUUGAAUUGGCGAAUGAAACUGAAAGCUAAAUAAAUGUUUUAGUGGAUAAAGCUGUGUCUGUUUGCUUAUGUCACUGACUUCUGUCUUCUGACUAAUUUUUAAAUUUUAUAAUUUAGUGGUUUUGUCAACUAUAUAUUUUUCUCUAUCAGGCAAAACAGUUUUCGAG
ensembl:lncRNA